rnacentral:lncRNA from 1 species
GCAGCCAGCCCGCUUUUCGCGCCUGGCGAGGACUGCGGCCCCGCGUGGCGCGCGGCCCCCGCGGCCUAUGAUACGUCUGACACGCACCUGCAGAUCCUGGGCAAGCCAGUAAUGGAGCGUUGGGAGACCCCCUACAUGCAUUCGCUGGCGGCUGCUGCUGCCUCCAGAGGUACUCUGCCCAGAAGAAACGGAGGCUACAGUUUAGGAGUGUAGGAGUUCCCAUGCAUGCUGCAUGCCUCAGUUUCCUUACCUGAGGCACUGAGCUGCCUUGGGGUUACCUUGGCAGGGAAGGGAAGAGUGUUGGCAAAAUGUAGACGCAGGCAAGAGAAGCCGGCUCCGAACUAGAACUUCCUCUCCUGGGGAAAAAGACUUCUACUUCCCGGAGCUGGGUUGGAGGGUGGAUCUUCGGACCACAGCCU